UACCAGCACCCCGAGUGGUCGGGACGAUUAUUGGGCCUAAAGCAUCCGUAGCCGGUCCUGCAAGUCUUCCGUUAAAUCCAGCUGCUUAACAGAUGGGCUGCGGAGGAUACUAUAAGACUAGGAGGCAGGAGAGGCAAGCGGUACUCAGUGGGUAGGGGUAAAAAUCCGUUGAUCCAUUGAAGACCACCAGUGGCGAAGGCGGCUUGCCAGAAUGCGCUCGACGGUGAGGGAUGAAAGCUGGGGGAGCAAACCGG
rnacentral:rRNA from 1 species